CUUAGCCCAAGAUCAUAGCACUGUCUUAGCCCAAGGCUUUCAGCCCAUCAACACCAGAAAAAGUUUGCUGACCCCUCUCUAGACUCAGAAGUAGAAUGUUCCAGAGAUGACCAGAGAGAAAAAAAUAGGACUUAAAA